rnacentral:rRNA from 1 species
UACGGGGGGAGCAAGCGUUGUUCGGAUUUACUGGGCGUAAAGGGCGCGUAGGCGGUCAGCACAAGUCAGUUGUGAAAUCUCCGGGCUUAACUCGGAAAGGUCAACUGAUACUGUGCGACUAGAGUGCGGAAGGGGCAACUGGAAUUCUCGGUGUAGCGGUGAAAUGCGUAGAUAUCGAGAGGAACACCUGCGGCGAAGGCGGGUUGCUGGCCGACACUGACGCUGAUGCGCGAAAGCCAGGGGAGCGAACGGG